GAUGAACGCUGACAGAAUGCUUAACACAUGCAAGUCUACCUGAAUCUGGGUUUUUUAACUUAGAUUUGGGUGGCGGACGGGUGAGUAACGCGUAAAGAACUUGCCUCACAGAUAGGGACAACAUUUUGAAACGAAUGCUAAUACCUGAUAUUAUGAAUAUAUGGCAUCAUAUAAUUAUGAAAGCUAUAAGCGCUGUGAGAGAGCUUUGCGUCCCAUUAGCUAGUUGGAGAGGUAACGGCCCACCAAGGCGAUGAUGGGUAGCCGGCCUGAGAGGGUGAACGGCCACAAGGGGACUGAGGCACGGCCCGUACUCCUACGGGAGGCAGCAGUGGGGAAUAUUGGACAAUGGACCAAGAGUAUGAUCCAGCAAUUCUGUGUGCACGAUGACGUUUUUCGGAAUGUAGAGUGCUUUCAGUUGGGAAGAAAAAAAUGACGGUACCAACAGAAGAAGUGACGGCUAAAUACGUG
rnacentral:rRNA from 1 species